AAAUUGAAGAGUUUGAUCAUGGCUCAGAUUGAACGCUGGCGGCAGGCCUAACACAUGCAAGUCGAGCGGUAGCACAGAGAGCUUGCUCUCGGGUGACGAGCGGCGGACGGGUGAGUAAUGUCUGGGAAACUGCCUGAUGGAGGGGGAUAACUACUGGAAACGGUAGCUAAUACCGCAUAACGUCGCAAGACCAAAGUGGGGGACCUUCGGGCCUCAUGCCAUCAGAUGUGCCCAGAUGGGAUUAGCUAGUAGGUGGGGUAAUGGCUCACCUAGGCGACGAUCCCUAGCUGGUCUGAGAGGAUGACCAGCCACACUGGAACUGAGACACGGUCCAGACUCCUACGGGAGGCAGCAGUGGGGAAUAUUGCACAAUGGGCGCAAGCCUGAUGCAGCCAUGCCGCGUGUGUGAAGAAGGCCUUCGGGUUGUAAAGCACUUUCAGCGGGGAGGAAGGCGUUAAGGUUAAUAACCUUGGCGAUUGACGUUACCCGCAGAAGAAGCACCGGCUAACUCCGUGCCAGCAGCCGCGGUAAUACGGAGGGUGCAAGCGUUAAUCGGAAUUACUGGGCGUAAAGCGCACGCAGGCGGUCUGUCAAGUCGGA
rnacentral:rRNA from 1 species